rnacentral:rRNA from 1 species
CGAACGGUCGCGUAACACGUAAGCAACCUGCCCCAAAGACCGGGACAACGUUCCGAAAGGAGCGCUAAUACCGGAUGUGCCCGCGAGGAGACCUCUCUUUGCGAGUAAAGCGCGCAAUCGGCUUUGGGAGGGGCUUGCGGCCUAUCAGCUAGAUGGUGGGGUAACGGCCUACCAUGGCGACGACGGGUAGCUGGUCUGAGAGGAUGGUCAGCCGGAUUGGGACUGAGAUACGGCCCAG